AGUAAACUUAUUUUUAGCAGCGAAGCAAACUCCUACAGUUGAAGUUUUAAAUCUGUUGGCAUUGACAUAUGGGGGGGGGGAGAGAGCGCGAGCGAGCGAGCGCGAGAGAGAGAGACGCUGCAAAAAAAAAGUUUGUUAAAAGUUUGUACCAGUGUAUGAAAACUAGCAGGCAAGUCCCACAUCAAGAGCAGCCCUUCCGGCUUGAAGGCAGAUUUCAGUCUUGAAUUACCUGUCGUCAACUACUGACAAACCCACAGGCAUACACAGGAUCUGAACAAUAGAGGCACAAAUCCAUCCUGUUUAACAUUUGUAAUGAAUUCCAAGCUAUUCCAUAUACGGUUUCAGCCCAGUUUAUCUGAAGGAGCACCUCCAGCAUCACCAAUUAUGCCGCCCGACAAGAUCAGCCACGCAGGGCCUUCUCUCAAUCCCACCAACAACAGUAGCUAGGUUGGUGGGGACUAGAGAGAGGGUUUUUUCAGUAGCGGCCCCCACUCUCUGGAAUUCCCUCCCAUUCGAUCUUCGGCAUGCCCCUUCCCUGGAUACUUUCCUCCGAGCCUUAAAAACUUGGCUGUUUGGACAGGCCUUUGGGACCGCUGGGGUGGGCUAAUUUACAUAUUGAAUGCCUGUUGUUAUGUACUGCAUAUGUUGUUAUUUUUGUUAUUGCUGAGUAUAUCAUAUUUUAUUGUAUUUACUGUAU